rnacentral:rRNA from 1 species
GAUGAACGCUGGCGGCGUGCCUAAUACAUGCAAGUCGAGCGAACAGACGAGGAGCUUGCUCCUCUGACGUUAGCGGCGGACGGGUGAGUAACACGUGGAUAACCUACCUAUAAGACUGGGAUAACUUCGGGAAACCGGAGCUAAUACCGGAUAAUAUAUUGAACCGCAUGGUUCAAUAGUGAAAGACGGCUUUGCUGUCACUUAUAGAUGGAUCCGCGCCGCAUUAGCUAGUUGGUAAGGUAACGGCUUACCAAGGCAACGAUGCGUAGCCGACCUGAGAGGGUGAUCGGCCACACUGGAACUGAGACACGGUCCAGACUCCUACGGGAGGCAGCAAUAGGGAAUCUUCCGCAAUGGGCGAAAGCCUGACGGAGCAACGCCGCGUGAGUGAUGAAGGUCUUCGGAUCGUAAAACUCUGUUAUUAGGGAAGAACAAAUGUGUAAGUAACUAUGCACGUCUUGACGGUACCUAAUCAGAAAGCCACGGCUAACUACGUG